AGUGAACGCUGGCGGCGUGCUUAACACAUGCAAGUCGAACGAGAACGGAUUAUAGCUUGCUAUAAUUGUCAGCUAAGUGGCGCACGGGUGAGUAAUGUAUAGGUAAUAUGCCUCUUACUAAGGGAUAACAAAUAGAAACGUUUGCUAAUACCUUAUACUCCUUAUUAACAUAAGUUAAUAAGGGAAAGAUUUAUUGGUAAGAGAUUAGCCUGUAUUGUAUCAGUUAGUUGGUGGGGUAAUGGCUUACCAAGAAUAUGACACAUAACUGGUUUGAGAUGAUGAUCAGUCACACUGGAACUGAGACACGGUCCAGACUCCUACGGGAGGCAGCAGUGGGGAAUAUUGCACAAUGGACGAAAGUCUUAUGCAGCAACGCCGCGUGGAGGAUGACACAUUUCGGUGCGUAAACUCCUUUUAUAUGAGAAGAUAAUGACGGUAUUAUAUGAAUAAGCACCGGCUAACUCCGUGCCAGCCGCGGCAGUAA
rnacentral:rRNA from 1 species